AACAGGGAGCCUCAUCACUGAAGACACUGAUGAGCUUCUCUCAGAGAGGGUGAAUGAGAUCACUCCAGGAAUCUAUGAGGAUAUCUUCACUGGUGGACCAAUACCAGAUUGUGAAACAGAUGACACACCAGAGGGAUAUUAUGAUGUCAUUACUAGUGGACAGAACUAUGAUACUGAAAAAG